CCUGGUUAAAUAAAGGUGUUCUCUACUAGCCUACCUGGUUAAAUAAAGGUGUUCUCUACUAGCCUACCUGGUUAAAUAAAGGUGUUCUCUACUAGCCUACCUGGUUAAAUAAAGGUGUUCUCUACUAGCCUACCUGGUUAAAUAAAGGUGUUCUCUACUAGCCUACCUGGUUAAAUAAAGGUGUUCUCUACUAGCCUACCUGGUUAAAUAAAGGUGUUCUCUACUAGCCUACCUGGUUAAAUAAAGGUGUUCUCUACUAGCCUACCUGGUUAAAUAAAGGUGUUCUCUACUAGCCUACCUGGUUAAAUAAAGGUGUUCUCUACUAGCCUACCUGGUUAAAUAAAGGUGUUCUCUACUAGCCUACCUGGUUAAAUAAAGGUGUUCUCUACUAGCCUACCUGGUUAAAUAAAGGUGUUCUCUACUAGCCUACCUGGUUAAAUAAAGGUGUUCUCUACUAGCCUACCUGGUUAAAUAAAGGUGUUCUCUACUAGCCUACCUGGUUAAAUAAAGGUGUUCUCUACUAGCCUACCUGGUUAAAUAAAGGUGUUCUCUACUAGCCUACCUGGUUAAAUAAAGGUGAAAAUAAAAAAUAAAAAAUAGCUGCAGUGAAAUGUGUUGUUUUACAUGGCCAGCAAUAGUAGUAUGGCUCCCCUGGAGCAAUUUAGGAAAAAGCACCAGAAAAGCACAUCCAAAAAUGACACGUAACAUUCACACAAAGACAUGAAGAGGAACAGAGGAAUAAAUACAUGUAGUGUGAUUGGGGAAUGAAAACAAGGUGUGCAGGGAACAAGACAAAACAAAUGGA